UUGUAACACCGGUUUCCGUACGAUCACCAAAGUUAAGCAACGUUGAGCCUGGUCAGUAUCUAGAUGGGUGACCGCUUGGGAAUACCAGGUAC
rnacentral:rRNA from 1 species